GCUCGCCAAACAACUACGAGUGAAAACUUAAAACUUAAAGGACUUGACGGUACUUCACCCAACCUAGAGGAGCCUGUCCAAUAACCGAUAACCCACGAUUAAUCCAACCACUUCUGGCCACCCAGUCUAUAUACCGCCGUCGCCAGCCCACCUUGCAAAAGAAACAAAGUGAGCCUAACAGUACUACACUAACACGACAGGUCGAGGUGUAACUUAUGAAGUGGACUAAGAUGGGCUACAUUUUCUAACCCAGACCACACGAACAAAGACAUGAAACUACCUUUCGAAGGUGGAUUUAGCAGUAAGCCAGGAACACAAUACCUAGCUGAAACCAUUGCAAUGAAGUGCGUACACACCGCCCGUCAUCCCUGUUACAAAACAAACCAACAUACAUAACCCCAUCCUACUAACACAAACAGGGCAAGUCGUAACAUGGUAAGCGUACUGGAAAGUGCGCUUAGAAA
rnacentral:rRNA from 1 species